AGAGUUUGAUCCUGGCUCAGAGCGAACGCUGGCGGCAGGCUUAACACAUGCAAGUCGAACGGGCAUAGCAAUAUGUCAGUGGUAGACGGGUGAGUAACGCGUGGGAACGUGCCUUUUGGUUCGGAACAACACAGGGAAACUUGUGCUAAUACCGGAUAAGCCCUUACGGGGAAAGAUUUAUCGCCAAAAGAUCGGCCCGCGUCUGAUUAGCUAGUUGGUAGGGUAACGGCCUACCAAGGCGACGAUCAGUAGCUGGUCUGAGAGGAUGAUCAGCCACACUGGGACUGAGACACGGCCCAGACUCCUACGGGAGGCAGCAGUGGGGAAUAUUGGACAAUGGGCGAAAGCCUGAUCCAGCCAUGCCGCGUGAGUGAUGAAGGCCCUAGGGUUGUAAAGCUCUUUUGUGCGGGAAGAUAAUGACGGUACCGCAAGAAUAAGCCCCGGCUAACUUCGUGCCAGCAGCCGUGGUAAUACGAAGGGGGCUAGCGUUGCUCGGAAUCACUGGGCGUAAAGGGUGCGUAGGCGGGUCUUUAAGUCAGGGGUGAAAUCCUGGAGCUCAACU
rnacentral:rRNA from 1 species